rnacentral:rRNA from 1 species
AUUGAACGCUGGCGGCAUGCUUUACACAUGCAAGUCGAGCGGCAGCGCGGGGGCAACCCUGGCGGCGAGCGGCGAACGGGUGAGUAAUACAUCGGAACGUGUCCCGUAGUGGGGGAUAGCCCGGCGAAAGCCGGAUUAAUACCGCAUAUGCUCUACGGAGGAAAGUGGGGGACUCGCAAGGGCCUCACGCUAUGGGAGCGGCCGAUGUCCGAUUAGCUUGUUGGCGGGGUAAGGCCCACCAAGGCGACGAUCGGUAGCUGGUCUGAGAGGAUGAUCAGCCACACUGGGACUGAGACACGGCCCAGACUCCUACGGGAGGCAGCAGUGGGGAAUUUGGACAAUGGGGAAACCCUGAUCCAGCCAUGCCGCGUGCGGGAAGAAGGCC